UGACCGUGACGCCCCAUUCUUGCGCUUCUCAGACAGAGCGGGAACACAAUUUCAAACAUAAACAUAUUAAAGUGGAGGAAAGUCACUCAGUGUGAGUGGAGUCGAGCGCUGCGUCUUCAUUUGCAAUGGGAGGAGAGACUGACGAGGAAGGAGAUGGAGCAAAUAAAACAUGCAAGCCACCACUAGGAAAAAAACGGUAUACCGUCAACGUCUUGUGUGUUCACAUGGCUGCUGGACUGAAAUUAUCUGCUGGUGUACAUCCACCCUGAGGCCUGUUUCAGAACAGGUGAUCAGCGUUGGGUUAAUCAACUCUGAGUAUGUUCACUCUGGGUUGAGGGCUUGCCUGUUGACUAUGAAGAGCCAUCAUCAAUGGAUCUCUGAUAACAUGAUCAAACAUGGACCAAAAGCGUAGAUCCACUUACUUUUCCCCCACGGAAUUGGAAAUUCUAAUGAACGUGUAUGCCGAGCUUGGCAGGAAAUAGCUGAACAAGUCAAUGCGUGAG
ensembl:lncRNA